rnacentral:rRNA from 1 species
UAGGGAAUCUUCGGCAAUGGACGAAAGUCUGACCGAGCAACGCCGCGUGAGUGAAGAAGGUUUUCGGAUCGUAAAACUCUGUUGUUAGAGAAGAACAAGGACGUUAGUAACUGAACGUCCCCUGACGGUAUCUAACCAGAAAGCCACGGCUAACUACGUGCCAGCAGCCGCGGUAAGACGUAGGUGGCAAGCGUUGUCCGGAUUUAUUGGGCGUAAAGCUAGCGCAGGCGGUUUCUUAAGUCUGAUGUGAAAGCCCUCGGCUCAACCGGGGAGGGUCAUUGGAAACUUGGAGACUUGAGUGCAGAAGAGGAGAGUGGAAUUCCAUGUGUAGCGGUGAAAUGCGUAUAUAUAUGGAGGAACACCAGUGGCGAAGGCGGCUCUCUGGUCUGUAACUGACGCUGAGGCUCGAAAGCGUGGGGAGCAAACAGG